rnacentral:rRNA from 1 species
AUUGAACGCUAGCGGGAUGCCUUACACAUGCAAGUCGAACGGAGUGGCGAACGGGUGAGUAAUGUAUCGGAACGUGCACAGUAGCAGGGGAUAACUACGCGAAAGCGAAGCCAAUACCGCAUACUAUUGGAGCGGCCGAUAGCGGAUUAGCUAGUUGGUGGGGUAACGGCUCACCAAGGUGACGAUCCGUAGCUGGUUUGAGAGGACGACCAGCCCCACGGGGACGGAGACACGGCCCAGACUCCUACGGGAGGCAGCAGUGGGGAAUUUUGGACAAUGGGGGAAACCCUGAUCCAGCCAUCCCGCGUGUGCGAUGAAGGCCUUCGGGUUGUAAAGCACUUUUGGCAGGAAAGCGGUACCUGCAGAAUAAGCACCGGCUAACUACGUGCCAGCCGCCGCGGUAAUAC